AUUGCUUCUUGGCAUUUUGGCUACAAUCUAGUGUAGUAUUUGUUCUUAUCAGUUUAAUUUCUGAUAUGCCCCAUAUCUGGGGACCAUAUAUUAAAUGGAUUUUUGAGAACUGGGGCCGCUUUGGAAGCUUAUUUCUGGUGCCUUAGGCUUUACUCUGUGAUGGCAAUAUCUUCGGGUACAGUGCGCCACUU